rnacentral:rRNA from 1 species
AGUGAACGCUGGCGGUAGGCCUAACACAUGCAAGUCGAACGGCAGCACAGUAAGAGCUUGCUCUUACGGGUGGCGAGUGGCGGACGGGUGAGGAAUACAUCGGAAUCUACUUUUUCGUGGGGGAUAACGUAGGGAAACUUACGCUAAUACCGCAUACGACCUACGGGUGAAAGCAGGGGAUCUUCGGACCUUGCGCGAUUGAAUGAGCCGAUGUCGGAUUAGCUAGUUGGGGGGGUAAAGGCCCACCAAGGCGACGAUCCGUAGCUGGUCUGAGAGGAUGAUCAGCCACACUGGAACUGAGACACGGUCCAGACUCCUACGGGAGGCAGCAGUGGGGAAUAUUGGACAAUGGGCGCAAGCCUGAUCCAGCCAUACCACGUGGGUGAAGAAGGCCUUCGGGUUGUAAAGCCCUUUUGUUGGGAAAGAAAAGCAGCAGGUUAAUACCCCGCUGUUCUGACGGUACUCAAAGAAUAAGCACCGGCUAACUUCGUG